AGGGGUAUAGUUCAAUCGGUAGAACACCGGACUUCAAAUCCGGGUGUUGUGGGUUCAAGUCCUGCUACCCCUG
rnacentral:tRNA from 12 species